rnacentral:rRNA from 1 species
UACGAAGGGGGCUAGCGUUGUUCGGAUUUACUGGGCGUAAAGCGCACGUAGGCGGAUCGUUAAGUCGGGGGUGAAAUCCUGGAGCUCAACUCCAGAACUGCCUUCGAUACUGGCGAUCUUGAGUCCGGAAGAGGUGAGUGGAAACUCCUAGUGUAGAGGUGGAAUUCGUAGAUAUUAGGAAGAACACCAGUGGCGAAGGCGGCUCACUGGUCCGGUACUGACGCUGAGGUGCGAAAGCGUGGGGAGCAAACAGG